UACGGAUAGUCUGGUGUACUUAAACUUAGGAUAAAUGAGAAUAUUACCAGAUAGAGUUAUCAGAGCAGAGGCGGUAAAAGCUAUCGAGAGAAAAGAAAACUAGGGUUUGGUAUUUGGGGCAAAUCAAUCGAGUGUUUCAGAGUUUGGGGGUGGCGAUUGGGUGGAGUAUGGAGGCUGGGUCGCUGGUAAUGGAGAGAAGCGGAGGUGGUGGUACAGCGGCGUAGAAGGGAGAGGCCGGUUGGGUGAUUGCAGCCGAUCGCCGGAGUGGCGCGAAGGUUGCAGGCGGCUCUGCCGCGGCUGUGCACCGCAGUGGCGAGACGCGCCGUUCACAGGGUAGAGAGAGAGAGAGGGGGGGCUGAAUGGAGGUGCUGGGCAUUGGCUAUGGCCGGAAUCCGGCGAGGCCUGGCGGCAGUCCCGAGGAGGCUGCCACGCGAGUUUUCCGGGAGAAAAACAAAAACAAAUAUUAAUUUUGUUUUUAUUAUUUUUAUUAUUGUUAUUUUUAAUAAAUGAUAACAAUAAUAUUAAUAAUAUUAAUAAAAUUAAUAUAUACUUUUGAUUGUUAUAUUUCUUUGCAAGGUGUAUUAUUAUUAUACUCUAUGACGUGAUUAUUAGUCAUAAAUUGUUUUUCUCGA